rnacentral:rRNA from 1 species
AACAGAUGCUAAUACCGCAUAACAACUUGGACCGCAGGGUCCGAGCUUGAAAGAUGGCUUCGGCUAUCAUUUUUGGAUGGUCCCGCGGCGUAUUAGCUAGAUGGUGGGGUAACGGCUCACCAUGGCAAUGAUACGUAGCCAACCUGAGAGGGUAAUCGGCCACAUUGGGACUGAAACCCGGCCCAAACUCCUACGGGAGGCACCAUUAGGGAAUCUUCCACAAUGGACAAAAGUCUGAUGGAGCAACGCCGCGUGAGUGAAAAAGGGUUUCGGCUCGUAAAACUCUGUUGUUAAAAAAAAACAUAUCUGAAAGUAACUGUUCAGGUAUUGACGGUAUUUAACCAAAAAGCCACGGCUAACUACGUGCCACCAGCCGCGGUAAUACGUAGGUGGCAAGCGUUGUCCGGAUUUAUUGGGCGUAAAGCGAGCGCAGGCGGUUUUUUAAGUCUGAUGUGAAACCCUUCGGCUCAACCAAAAAAGUGCAUCGGAUACUGAGAAACUUGAUUGCACAACAGGACAGUGGAACUCCUUGUGUAGCGGUGAAAUGCGUAGAUAUAUGGAAGACCACCAGUGGCGAAGGCGGCUGUCUGGUCUGUAACUGACGCUGAGGCUC